rnacentral:rRNA from 1 species
CGGGGGGUACAUCAGUGGCGAACGGGUGAGUAACACGGUGGGUGACCUUCCCCAAAGACGGGGAUAACUCUUGGAAACAUGGGCUAAUACCCGAUGUGCUCAGCAGUUCAUAUCUGUUGAGUAAAGCUAUGGCGCUUUGUGAUGGGUCCGCUGGCCAUCAGCUAGUUGGUAGGGUAAAGGCCUACCAAUGCUAACACAGGUAUGGGGCGUGAGAGCGCGAUCCCCCACACUGGCACUGAGACACGGGGCAGACUCCUACGGGAGGCAGCAGUGAGGAAUAUUGCGCAAUGGACGAAAGUCUGACGCAGGGACGCCGCCGUGGGCGAUGAAGGCCUUCGGGUCGUAAAGCCCUUGUCUUGAGCGAAGAGAAAGGACUGGUACCCCAGGAAUAAGCCCCGGGUAGCUACGUGCCAGCAACCGCGGUAAAACGUACUGGGUCAAGCGUUAUCUCGGAUUUACUGGGCGUAAAUAGCGUUUAGGCGCGGUGGUAAGUAGGGCGUGAAAGCCCUGGGC